GGAGUUUGGUCCGUGUCUCAGUACCAAUGUGGGGGACCUUCCUCUCAGAACCCCUACUGAUCGUCGCCUUGGUGGGCCGUUACCCCGCCAACAAGCUAAUCAGACGCAUCCCCAUCCCUCAGCGAUAAAUCUUUAUUCCUAAUCUGAUGCCUUCAAAGGAAACCAUAAGGUAUUAAUCCAUCUUUCGAUGGGCUAUCCCUUACUCAGGGGCAGGUUGGAUACGCGUUACUCACCCAUUCGCCGGUCGACGCCUAAAGAAAGCAAGCUUUCAAUAUCGUUUCCCCUCGACUUGCAUGUGUUAAGCCUGUAGCUAGCGUUCAUC
rnacentral:rRNA from 1 species